CCUAAGGUAGCGAAAUUCCUUGUCGGGUAAGUUCCGACCUGCACGAAUGGCGUAACGACUUCCCCACUGUCUCGACCAGGAGCUCGGCGAAAUUGCAGUACGAGUAAAGAUGCUCGUUAAGCGCAGAAGGACGAAAAGACCCCGGGACCUUUACUAUACCUUGGUAUUGGCGUUAGGCGCGGAUUGUGUAGCAUAGGCGGGAGGCUUCGAAGCGGGUGCGCCAGCAUUCGUGGAGCCGCAAGGUGAAAUACCGCUCUGUUCUCGUUUGACGUCUAACCUCGACAAGUCAUCCUUGUCAGGGACAGUGCCUGGCGGGUAGUUCAACUGGGGCGGUUGCCUCCCAAAGAGUAACGGAGGCGCUCAAAGGUCCGCUCAGCCCGGUUGGCAAUCGGGUGUCGAGUGUAAUCGCACAAGCGGGCUUGACUGCGAGGACGACGGUCCGAGCAGGGACGAAAGUCGGAGAUAGUGAUCCGGUGCCGGCGCACGGGCGCGGCAUCGCUCAACGGAUAAAAGGUACCCCGGGGAUAACAGGCUGAUCAUUCCCAAGAGUCCAUAUCGACGGGAUGGUUUGGCACCUCGAUGUCGGCUCGUCGCAUCCUGGGGCUGGAGCAGGUCCCAAGGGUUCGGCUGUUCGCCGAUUAAAGCGGCACGCGAGCUGGGUUCAGAACGUCGUGAGACAGUUUGGUCUCUAUCCUCUGCGCUCGUUGGAAUCCUGAGGAGGCCUGCCCAUAGUACGAGAGGACCUGGGUGGACGAACCUCUGGUAUGCCGGUUGUCGCGCCAGCGGCACGGCCGGUUGGCUACGUUCGGGAGGGAUAACCGCUGAAAGCAUCUAAGCGGGAAGCCUGCUCCAAGAUUAGGAUUCCAUGGAUCUUCGAGAUCCUGUAGCCCGCAUGUUGAACACGUGUUUGAUAGGCCGGAGGUGGAAGUCCCGUGAGGGGUGGAGCCGACCGGUACUAACGGGCGAUGGCGACACAAC
rnacentral:rRNA from 1 species